GUAGCUAUAAAAUUUAGGAACUAUAUGUUCUCCCCCACUGCUUUAGAGUAACCUCUGGAUUUUUCCCAAGCCAUGACAGAAUGGCAUUAGACUUACUCUCCAAUCAAAAUACAACACAUGGCAAGACACACAAGGCAGCUAUUUUCAGGAACACACAGGCAGCAUUGUGAUCCUUGAGAGAAUACAAAGACUGAAAGUCUAAGAUCAAGAUGCCAGCAGAGUUGGUGUUUGGAGAGUGCUUCCCCUGUGGGUUGCAGACUUCUCACUAUAUCCUCAAGUGGCUUUUCCUCAGUGUGUGCACAAGGGAAGAAAGAGAGAGGGCUCUGGUCUCUCUUCUUACAAGAACAUUAAUCCUAUCAGAUCAGGGCCCCACCCUUGUAACCUGAUUUAACCUUAAUUACUUCCUUAAACACUCCAUCUCCAAAUACAGUCACACUGAGGAUUAGGGCUUCAAUAUGUGAAUCUGGGGGAGACAAACAUUCAGUCCAUAAUAAUA
ensembl:lncRNA novel transcript